rnacentral:rRNA from 1 species
CAGCCGCCGCGGGAAUACGUAGGGUGCAAGCGUUAAUCGGAAUUACUGGGCGUAAAGCGUGCGCAGGCGGUUAUAUAAGUCAGAUGUGAAAUCCCCGGGCUCAACCUGGGAACUGCAUUUGAGGCUGUAUGGCUAGAGUGUGUCAGAGGGGGGUAGAAUUCCACGUGUAGCAGUGAAAUGCGUAGAUACGUGGAGGAAUACCGAUGGCGAAGGCAGCCCCCUGGGAUAACACUGACGCUCAUGCACGAAAGCGUGGGGAGCAAACAGGAUUAGAGACCCCUGUAGUCCCUGUCUCUUAUAA